AUGCAACAGAAGAAGCAGCGCCGUUGCCAUGCACUAAGAAGGUCGACAGAGUCUGCGAGGUGGAAGAACCAUAGCAUACAGGUUGAUUUGCAAGGGUUGUGUGGAGCGAACCCUGUUCCUCUAAACCAAGGGGUACUUUUGGCCCUUUUCCUGGCAUGCGACAUAGCCAAUGAGAUGUCCCUGAAGCUUUAA
rnacentral:rRNA from 1 species